UACGGGGGGGCAAGCGUUGUUCGGAAUUACUGGGCGUAAAGGGCUCGUAGGCGGCCAACUAAGUCGGACGUGAAAUCCCCAGGCUCAACCUGGGAACUGCGUCCGAUACUGGAUGGCUUGAAUCCGGGAGAGGGAUGCGGAAUUCCAGGUGUAGCGGUGAAAUGCGUAGAUAUCUGGAGGAACACCGGUGGCGAAGGCGGCAUCCUGGACCGGCAUUGACGCUGGAGGCGCGAAAGCCAGGGGAGCAAACGGG
rnacentral:rRNA from 1 species